ACAUCAGACAGAAAGGAAGUCCGUCUACAGACACUGUGUGUACUAACUGUACUGGUGACACCUAUUCAGAUGGAUCAUUUACAUCCUGUCAACCACACACACAAUGUGACACCUUGAAACGUCUACAAAUUGAACCUGGAACUCACUGGUCCGACUCUGAAUGUGGACCACAAACCUCCCCUCCUAUAGGUUUAAUUCUACUUGUACUUCUUGGGCCACUGGCUUUGGCAGUUGUGAUUGCUGUAAUUAUAUGUGUCAGAAAAAGAAUACAUUCUAAAUCAGCACUGUACAGAUCCGUGUCUGGACUUCACUGGAGACCUGCUGCAUUCAGGCCUGCUUCAAAUCUUCCAACAUUAUCCCAGUUCCCAAGAAGUCAAGGAUCAAAGGACCUAAUUACUACAGAUCGUCAUCCUCACCUUAUGUGGUUAUAAAGUCAUUUGAGCGCCUUGUGUUGUCCCACCUCAAGACCAUCACUGACCCUCUUCUAGACCCACUGCAGUUUGUCUACAGAACCAACAGGGCUGUGGAUGAUGUGGUCAACGUGGCUCGUCACUUCAUCCUCCAGCAUCUGGACUCCCCUGGAACCUGGAAGCACUUGUCUGACCCCCUGAUCAUCAGCACCGGCUCCCCUCAAGGCUGGGUCCUGUCCCCCUUACUCUUCUCCCCGUACCAACAGCUGCACCUCCAGUCACCACUAUCAAGCUCCUGAAGUUUGCGGAUGAGUCCACCCACAUCUGACUUAUUU